GAUGAAGAACGUAGCGAAAUGCGAUACGUAAUGUGAAUUGCAGAAUUCAGUGAAUCAUCGAGUCUUUGAACGCACAUUGCGCCCCCUGGUAUUCCGGGGGGCAUGCCUGUCCGAGCGUCAUUGCUGCCCUCAAGCACGGCUUGUGUGUUGGGCCUCCGUCCUCCUCCCGGGGGACGGGCCCGAAAGGCAGCGGCGGCACCGCGUCCGGUCCUCGAGCGUAUGGGGCUUCGUCACCCGCUCUUGUAGGCCCGGCCGGCGCUUGCCGACGACCAUCAAUCUCUUUCUCCAGGUUGACCUCGGAUCAGGUAGGGAUACCCGCUGAACUUAAGCAUAUCAAUAAGCGGAGGA
rnacentral:misc_RNA from 1 species